rnacentral:lncRNA from 1 species
AAAGAAAUCUGUCGUCCUUACGUUUGGAGUGGUGUCAUAUCAUUUCUUCAGAAAUUUUGGAACACAAAUACAAUCUUUUCAAACGUGGAAUCAACGGAAAAUGACGAAGAUAUUUCGCAGGAACACGUUUAUUUUUCUGAACGUUUUCGACAACCCACCUAGACGUUCCAUAAUUUGGGCAAGAUUCUAGGUCUACAUACUCAUUUCGAUAUAAAAUACAAUCGUUGCGACAUGCAUCAAUUUUUUUAUAAUUGAACCCCAAAUCACGAACCACCGACUUCGCAUGGUACAUGGUUUUCGGAAUGGUCGACUUACG